rnacentral:rRNA from 1 species
GGUAAAAAAAAGGUAAGCUACUAAGAGCGAAUGGUGGAUGCCUUGACUGGUAAAGGCGAUGAAGGACGUACUAGACUGCGAUAAGCUACGGGGAGCUGUCAAGAAGCUUUGAUCCGUAGAUUUCCGAAUGGGGCAACCCAAUGUAUAGAGAUAUACAUUACCUAUAUAGGAGCGAACGAGGGGAAUUGAAACAUCUUAGUACCCUCAGGAAAAGAAAUCAAUAGAGAUUGCGUCAGUAGCGGCGAGCGAAAGCGCAAGAGGGCAAACCCAGUGCUUGCACUGGGGGUUGUAGGACUGCAAUGUGCAAGAGCUGAGUUUAGCAGAACAUUCUGGAAAGUAUAGCCAUAGAGGGUGAUAGUCCCGUAUGCGAAAAACAAAGCUUAGCUAGCAGUAUCCUGAGUAGGGCGGGACACGAGAAAUCCUGUCUGAAUCCGGGUCGACCACGAUCCAACCCUAAAUACUAAUACCAGAUCGAUAGUGCACAAGUACCGUGAGGGAAAGGUGAAAAGAACUGAGGUGAUCAGAGUGAAAUAGAACCUGAAACCAUUUGCUUACAAUCAUUCAGAGCCCUAUGUAGCAAUACAGGGUGAUGGACUGCCUUUUGCAUAAUGAGCCUGCGAGUUGUGGUGUCUGGCAAGGUUAAGCAAACGCGAAGCCGUAGCGAAAGCGAGUCUGAAUAGGGCGCUUAGUCAGAUGCUGCAGACCCGAAACGAAGUGAUCUAUCCAUGAGCAAGUUGAAGCUAGUGUAAGAACUAGUGGAGGACUGAACCCAUAGGCGUUGAAAAGCCCCGGGAUGACUUGUGGAUAGGGGUGAAAGGCCAAUCAAACUUCGUGAUAGCUGGUUCUCUCCGAAAUAUAUUUAGGUAUAGCGUUGUGUCGUAAUAUAAGGGGGUAGAGCACUGAAUGGGCUAGGGCAUACACCAAUGUACCAAACCCUAUCAAACUCCGAAUACCUUAUAUGUAAUCACAGCAGUCAGGCGGCGAGUGAUAAAAUCCGUCGUCAAGAGGGAAACAACCCAGACUACCAGCUAAGGUCCCUAAAUCUUACUUAAGUGGAAAACGAUGUGAAGUUACUUAAACAACCAGGAGGUUGGCUUAGAAGCAGCCAUCCUUUAAAGAAAGCGUAAUAGCUCACUGGUCUAGUGAUUUUGCGCGGAAAAUAUAACGGGGCUAAAGUAAGUACCGAAGCUGUAGACUUGCGCACAACUUAGAUUAUUUAAGUUUAGAAUAUGAGAAACUAAGUUAUGUUUAGUUAUAUUUUUACUGAUUUUUAUAGAGUAAAGAUAGAAAUAAAACUUAGUAAAAUCAGUAAAAAUAUUCUUAGGCUAAAGUUAAGUAGUUUAAGUUGUGUGCAAGUGGUAGGAGAGCGUUCUAUUUGCGUCGAAGGUAUACCGGUAAGGAGUGCUGGAGCGAAUAGAAGUGAGCAUGCAGGCAUGAGUAGCGAUAAUUAAUGUGAGAAUCAUUAACGCCGUAAACCCAAGGUUUCCUACGCGAUGCUCGUCAUCGUAGGGUUAGUCGGGUCCUAAGUCGAGUCCGAAAGGGGUAGACGAUGGCAAAUUGGUUAAUAUUCCAAUACCAACAUUAGUGUGCGAUGGAAGGACGCUUAGGGCUAAGGGGGCUAGCGGAUGGAAGUGCUAGUCUAAGGUCGUAGGAGGUUAUACAGGCAAAUCCGUAUAACAAUACUCCGAGAACUGAAAGGCUUUUUGAAGUCUUCGGAUGGAUAGAAGAACCCCUGAUGCCGUCGAGCCAAGAAAAGUUUCUAAGUUUAGCUAAUGUUGCCCGUACCGUAAACCGACACAGGUGGGUGGGAUGAGUAUUCUAAGGCGCGUGGAAGAACUCUCUUUAAGGAACUCUGCAAAAUAGCACCGUAUCUUCGGUAUAAGGUGUGGUUAGCUUUGUAUUAGGAUUUACUCCGAAAGCAAGGAAACUUACAACAAAGAGUCCCUCCCGACUGUUUACCAAAAACACAGCACUCUGCUAACUCGUAAGAGGAUGUAUAGGGUGUGACGCCUGCCCGGUGCUCGAAGGUUAAUUGAUGGGGUUAGCAUUAGCGAAGCUCUUGAUCGAAGCCCGAGUAAACGGCGGCCGUAACUAUAACGGUCCUAAGGUAGCGAAAUUCCUUGUCGGUUAAAUACCGACCUGCAUGAAUGGCGUAACGAGAUGGGAGCUGUCUCAAAGAGGGAUCCAGUGAAAUUGUAGUGGAGGUGAAAAUUCCUCCUACCCGCGGCAAGACGGAAAGACCCCGUGGACCUUUACUACAGCUUGACACUGCUACUUGGAUAAGAAUGUGCAGGAUAGGUG